CAAAUUAAAGCUUAAAUAGUAAAGUGUUUUAUUUACAUUAAAAAUAAGUCGUGCAAAUCGAUAUAGUUUGA
rnacentral:tRNA from 1 species